rnacentral:tRNA from 2 species
AGAGAGAUGGCAGAGUGGUUGAAUGCGGCGGUCUUGAAAACCGUUGUGGCCUUUGGUCACCGGGGGUUCGAAUCCCUCUCUCUCUG